AUCCAGCUGACGAGUCUUAAAUAGGACGAAACAUCUGUGCUGGAU
rnacentral:hammerhead_ribozyme from 1 species